UGAUGGGAAUAAUUGACAUGAUUUGCAUACAAUUUGGGUUACAAUAGGGAUGGGUGACUUUCUAUUCUACAUGGGUAAGGUCUUUAGUCAGGCAUGUUAUAGGAUUUGGCAAGAGUUGGCACAAAACUUCCGUAAUUUUAUGAGGUUACAUAUUACAGUUCGAUUAGUUAGUCAUUUAUGGCAGUGGUUCCCAACUCGUUUUUAAGGCGACCCAUUUUAAAAAUAAAUUCAGUUCGGUAAAAUCUUGCGACCCAAGCAUAUAUUGUCGUAAAAUUUUAAAAGCCAUACAAGAUUGCAUUGCAAACGGGUAAUCCUUUAGCUGGUGGUCAGUGACAAUUUUGGUUUCUAAAUGUCUUAUAGACCUUACUGAUACCCACUGUUUAAUUAUUUUUGCAAAAAA